AACGAACGCUGGCGGCAUGCCUAACACAUGCAAGUCGAACGAGACCUUCGGGUCUAGUGGCGCACGGGUGCGUAACGCGUGGGAACCUGCCCUUAGGUUCGGAAUAACUCCCCGAAAGGGGUGCUAAUACCGGAUAAUGUCUUCGGACCAAAGAUUUAUCGCCUUUGGAUGGGCCCGCGUUGGAUUAGCUAGUUGGUAGGGCAAAAGCCUACCAAGGCGACGAUCCAUAGCUGGUCUGAGAGGAUGAUCAGCCACACUGGGACUGAGACACGGCCCAGACUCCUACGGGAGGCAGCAGUGGGGAAUAGUGGACAAUGGGCGAAAGCCUGAUCCAGCAAUGCCGCGUGAGUGAUGAAGGCCUUAGGGUUGUAAAGCUCUUUUACCCGGGAUGAUAAUGACAGUACCGGGAGAAUAAGCUCCGGCUAACUCCGUG
rnacentral:rRNA from 1 species